rnacentral:rRNA from 1 species
CCUACGGGAGGCUGCAGUGGGGGAUAUUGGACAAUGGGGAGAACCCUGAUCCAGCGACGCCGCGUGAGUGAAGAAGUAUCUCGGUAUGUAAAGCUCUAUCAGCAGGGAAGAAGAAAUGACGGUACAUGAGUAAGAAGCCCCGGCUAACUACGUGCCAGCAGCCGCGGUAAUACGUAGGGGGCAAGCGUUAUCCGGAAUUACUGGGUGUAAAGGGAGCGUAGACGGUGAUGUAAGUCUGGAGUGAAAGGCGGGGGCCCAACCCCCGGACUGCUCUGGAAACUAUGUGACUGGAGUGCAGGAGAGGUGAGCGGAAUUCCUGGUGUAGCGGUGAAAUGCGUAGAUAUUAGGAGGAACACCAGUGGCGAAGGCGGCUUGCUGGGCUUUUACUGACGCUGAGGCUCGAAAGCGUGGGGAGCAAACAGGAUUAGAUACCCUUGUAGUC